CGCCUGGGGAGUACGGCCGCAAGGGUGAAACUCAAAGGAAUUGACGGGGGCCCGCACAAGCGGAGGAGCAUGUGGUUUAAUUCGAUGAUACGCGAGGAACCCUACCCGGGCUUGAAAGUUAGUGAAGGGUGCAGAGACGCACUCGUCCUUCGGGACACGAAACUAGGUGCUGCAUGGCUGUCGUCAGCUCGUGCCGUGAGGUGUUGGGUUAAGUCCCGCAACGGGCGCAACCCCUAUGUUUAGUUGCCAGCACUUAAGUGGGGACUCUAAACAGACUGCCUGUGCAAACAGGAGGAAGGUGGGGACGACGUCAAGUCAUCAUGGCCCUUACGUCCGGGGCUACACUCGUGCUACAAUGGAUGGUACAGCGGGCAGCUACAUAGCAAUAUGAUGCUAAUCUCUAAAAGCCAUUCACAGUUCGGAUUGGGGUCUGCAACUCGACCCCAUGAAGUUGGAUUCGCUAGUAAUCGCGUAUCAGAAUGACGCGGUGAAUACGUUCCCGGGCCUUGAACACACCGCCCGUC
rnacentral:rRNA from 1 species